rnacentral:rRNA from 1 species
GGUCCCAAGGGUUGGGCUGUUCGCCCAUUAAAGCGGUACGCGAGCUGGGUUCAGAACGUCGUGAGACAGUUCGGUCCCUAUCCGUCGUGGGCGUAGGAAAUUUGAGAGGAGCUGUCCUUAGUACGAGAGGACCGGGAUGGACAUACCUCUGGUGUACCAGUUGUCGUGCCAACGGCAUAGCUGGGGAGCUAUGUGUGGACGGGAUAAGUGCUGAAAGCAUCUAAGCAUGAAGCCCCCCUCAAGAUGAGAU